GAGAAUUCACAAUAAUGAAAAUGACUGUAUUCCUAAAACUCCAAGUAGAAUUAAGGAGGAAAGUUUCAGGGUCCUUGGCAUAGAGAAAGGGAAGAUUAUUAUAAGCAAGUCAGGUUUGGGGUUGUCCAGAAAACACUAAAAAACAUAGGAGAAUGGAUUAGAAAAUCUGUUUUUCAUGUGUGACAAAGAUUCCACAAGGAAUAUAGUUCUGGAGUUGCAUAACACAAUAUCAAUCAUAAUUUUUUUAAACCUCAUUUUGAAAUUGUCAUUUUGUGAGUGUAUGUUUUCUGAUGGGUGCAAUAUAUUUGAGCAGUAAUAUACCGCUGAGGUAGAAUAACGUUAAUAUUGGGCCUAAUUGUUAUAUUGCCCCAUAGUCAAGCUCUUUGCCACCUAACUUCACAGAGCUUUCCUCUUCUGGUUGGGCCAAACUGCCUGGCCUCUUGACUGAGUACAGCCAUAUGAUUUGCUUUGGAUUGAGCAAAUAUGAACAAUUAAAUAAAUUAAGCAAAUAUGAACAGAAGCAAUACAGCACUUUCAUGAUUGGGCUGGUAUGCUUCCUCUUGCCCUUUGCCGCAGCCAAGCACAUAUUCCUAUUCUAUAUAUGAGGGAUGUGCAGCCCAGGCCUCCCCACUCCCAUCUAUCAUACAGUUGACCAUCAGACAUGAGAACAAGUGACACCAAAUGAGAAGAACCUUCCAGUUAAAGUCAGACUAAACUGCUCAAUUUUAUACUGAUGUGCUAAAUGAAUGCUUGAUGUUUUAAGCUUCUGGACUGUGGGGUGUUUUCUAAGACAUUAUUACUGUGGAAAUAAAUCAUUUAUUUAUAGAUAACGAAAUACACAUUUAUCUUGUUUGUGCUCAAAAUUUCUAAAAUAAUGAGAUGGUUUGAUCAAUAAAAUACAUGGAGACCACUGGAUCCACAGUUGCUUUUGGGAUUCCACUGGUCAGAUUCUGACAUCUAUUUCAUUAUGUGUAUUUAGGUGAGUUUCUCCUCAUCAUUCAAGUUUUAUCUCAAUGUCACCUUCUCUAAGAGGCCUUCUCUGACUAUACCAUUAAAGGGAAAUUCUACCACCCAAAUUGUUCUCUGGCUGAUCCUACCACACAAGACACACCAACAUCUUAUUUAUGAUGUCUUUGUCCACUAGAAUGCAAGCUUUAUGAUGAAAAGACUUUUCAUCCCCUCCCCAAUCACUCUGUAUCCCUAGUGCUUGGAAUAGUACUUGGCACAUUCGUGUUCAGUAACUUCUUGCACAGGGUCAGGGUGAGUGGCCAGUGCUUUUUCAAAAUGCUCACUUACCCCAGCUUCCUUCCAACAGUGGGUGCCACAUCUCACAGAGGUCAUAAAGUCCCCAACAGAACUCUUCAGCUCUACUGGAGUGACCUGGGAGCAAGCAAGCAAUAUGAAAUGUUCUCUGUGUUCCAAGGAAUCUGUAACUAUGGAUAUUGAAAGUUGAAUUUCAUAUACUUUUAAUAAAAUCAUAUUAUUCUCUUAA